rnacentral:rRNA from 1 species
UACGUAGGGGGCAAGCGUUGUCCGGAUUUAUUGGGCGUAAAGAGCGUGUAGGCGGCCAGGUAGGUGGGUUGUGAAAACUGGAGGCUCAACCUUCAGACGUCGACCCAAACCCCCUGGCUAGAGUCCGGAAGAGGAGAGUGGAAUUCCUGGUGUAGCGGUGAAAUGCGCAGAUAUCAAGGAAGAACACCCGUGGCGAAGGCGGCUCUC